UCUGCAAGGCGACAAGUUUUCAAGAGAGGGGAAGGAUGAUCAGCUAGCGGUUCUUCAGUAACUGUAUGUAACUCUUCGGUAACUGUAAGUAACUCUAUGACUCCAAGAAAGCAAUGCCAGAUCCCUUGUUUGUCAGAUUAUUAUGAACCAGAUUUGGCAGUUUGAUCACACAAUGGUGUUCUCUACCUGGUUCAUUCGUACCACUCAACUUGCAUAGCCUACUUGUAGAAAACUCCACGCUGCCGUGCAGCCAUGCUUGUACUACUGUGUGUUGUCGUCUGAUAAUAUGUUCUACAGUUCUGGAUCCAAAACUACAUGAGAUUUAAUUUAAGACUUGCUGGUCCC